rnacentral:rRNA from 1 species
GAUGAACGCUGGCGGCGUGCUUAACACAUGCAAGUCGAACGAUGAAAGCGGGAGCUUGCUCCUGCUGGAUUAGUGGCGAACGGGUGAGUAACACGUGAGCAAUCUGCCCCGAACUCUGGGAUAAGCGUUGGAAACGACGUCUAAUACCGGAUACGACGCGCGAAGGCAUCUUCUGCGCGGGGAAAGAACUUCGGUUCGGGAUGAGUCCGCGGCCUAUCAGCUAGUUGGUGAGGUAACGGCCCACCAAGGCGACGACGGGUAGCCGGCCUGAGAGGGUGACCGGCCACACUGGGACUGAGACACGGCCCAGACUCCUACGGGAGGCAGCAGUGGGGAAUAUUGCACAAUGGGCGCAAGCCUGAUGCAGCAACGCCGCGUGAGGGACGACGGCCUUCGGGUUGUAAACCUCUUUUAGUAGGGAAGAAGCGAAAGUGACGGUACCUGCAGAAAAAGCACCGGCUAACUACGUGCCAGCCGCCGCAGUAAAAC